UAAUACGUAGGUGGCAAGCGUUGUCCGGAAUUAUUGGGCGUAAAGGGCUCGCAGGCGGUUUUUUAAGUCUGAUGUGAAAUCUUGUGGCUUAACCACAAGCGGUCAUUGGAAACUGGAGAACUUGAGUACAGAAGAGGAGAGUGGAAUUCCACGUGUAGCGGUGAAAUGCGUAGAGAUGUGGAGGAACACCAGUGGCGAAGGCGACUCUCUGGUCUGUAACUGACGCUGAGGAGCGAAAGCGUGGGGAGCAAACAGG
rnacentral:rRNA from 1 species